AAAUUAGUUAAGGGAAUUCCAGAAAUAUUAAUAAAUCAGAGUUAAACGCCUCCAGGGAGAAGAUGACCAGGACUCUGAGAUGCGUUUAAGAUUUAAUAUGUAUUUAAAAAUUAUAGGUAUAAGGGCAUGCAGGUGGCAAAGUGGUUAGGGCGCACGACCCAUGUACGGAGAUCUUAGUCCUUGACGCGGCCCACCUGGGUUCAAAUUCAACCUGUGGUCCUUUACCGCAUGUCUCUCCCCCUCUGUCAUACCCCCUUUCCUGUAAGAAAAACAAGCCACUUGUCAAGUCUAGAACCAAGAUAAUAUCUGAACCAGUCUAUCUCUUGUUGUGAUAAAAUGUAUUAUUUCAAUUCCAUUACUUGUGAUUUAUAGUGUCAAAGUGCUCACCCUGACAACAAAGGUAAGGUGAGCAAUGCUCUGGAGCUCAGGCAGGAGCAGCAGGAAAUCAGUGUGAGAACAGCAGCUGAGAGAGCUUCAUAACGGGGAUGAGGCAACCAGCAAUCCCCCAAAUAGAGCUAAGGAACCAAAGCAAUGGCUCAGGAGGAGAGUAGAGGAUCACAGUCUGUCCUGGAGAUUUAAAAAAGCUUGUCUCUGCUGCCUCCUUCACUAAAACAGUGAGCUCAACAUCAUGACAUGUCCAACAUCAUGAGAAACACAGAUGUACAAUAACCAGUACUGUCGGUUUAGAGGGAGCAGCUGACAAGAGGCUAACAGAUGGCAGGAAGCGCAGCUUGAAAUUCCGUCCUUUCACUUCAAAUCAAACUCAUGGAGAGGCCCUUAGCAGGAAAAUUCAAAGGUAAAUCAUCGAGGAACUGUCCCCUGCUCUGAGGAACCAUCAGUUUAUCACCAGACGUGGAUAUUUCACAUCAGUUAGAAAU